GGUAUCAUGUGGCUCAGAGAGGAGGGACUCAGUGUUCACAGAUCUGACAUGAUCUAAUGUGUUUGACAGAGACUUUGGUAGAAACUAUUCAGUCUGACUCUUCUCAGAGUGAACACUUCUACAAUGGAUCUUUGUUCAGUUUUUCUGUUCUGUGCAUCAGCAGCUGCUGUCUUUGCAAAUAUCAUCAAAGCAAACAAAACUGAUGUUUUUUAUGAAGAGGGUUCAGUUAUUGUAUUGUCCUGUAGUCAGUCACCUGGAGCUUCAGAUAAUAUCUACUGGUACCGUCAGUAUGAAAGAUCAAAACCUGAAUUUCUUGUACUCACCUAUGGUGGUGCAAAAAAACCUGCGGUGUCUGAUGUAGAUCCAAGAUUCUCUGCUAAAGUUGAAAAAAGGGAACAAAUCCAUGUGGAUCUGAAGAUCUCCUCUGCUGCUGUAUCAGACUCUGCUCUGUACUACUGUGCUCUGGCGCCCACAGUGACAGGAAACACAUCAGCUCUCUACAAAAACCAGUUACAAUGAGAGACAAGAGAGAAAUAGAGAAAAAGACAACAAGGAAGUAGUAACUGCCAAUUACAAUAAUAUGUCUAAGAAAUAAUGAGAAUAAGUGAAUAAACCACAGACAGUUACCUAAAUCAGAAUGUAUACAACUCAUUUCAUCAGUCUUUGGCAAAAUUAUCAAAAUCAA